rnacentral:rRNA from 1 species
UACGUAGGGUGCAAGCGUUAAUCGGAAUUACUGGGCGUAAAGCGUGCGCAGGCGGUUGUGCAAGACCGAUGUGAAAUCCCCGGGCUUAACCUGGGAAUGGCAUUGGUGACUGCACAGCUAGAGUGUGUCAGAGGGGGGUAGAAUUCCACGUGUAGCAGUGAAAUGCGUAGAGAUGUGGAGGAAUACCGAUGGCGAAGGCAGCCCCCUGGGAUAACACUGACGCUCAUGCACGAAAGCGUGGGGAGCAAACAGG